rfam:Candidatus Spechtbacteria bacterium RIFCSPLOWO2_01_FTLL_46_10 rifcsplowo2_01_scaffold_25646, whole genome shotgun sequence.
CGGGGCAUAGUGUAGCGGCAACACGCAUCGUUCGGGACGAUGAGACGCUGGGUUCGACUCCCAGUGCCCCGA